CCAAUUAAAUUCCUUAUCUCUUGCUUUUCUUACACUACUGAUUUAUCUUUCACUUUUUUUCUUUAUUAAAUUAAAGGUCGGAGAAGUUCGAACCCUUGUGCUUAUGUUGCUGGUGUGGUGAAAUACGCGACGUUAUUUUCUCUGAGAAUGGAAGUGUUACAGUGGUUUACCGUGUCACCAUACGAGGUUCGGAUGGUGAGGCACACCGGGAAUCAACUGGGACUGUGUCAUCCAGCAAUGACCAGGUUGUAGAUCUUGUAGCUGCAGCAGAGGAAAUCGCAUUUUGCCGAGCAUGUGCUCGAUUUGGACUAGGCUUAUAUCUCUAUCAUGAUUAAUAGCCUAGUCACAGAAGUUGUUAUUGAGAACAUGUUUCAAUGUUGUUUGUACAUGUUAUCUUGAAAUACGGCACAUGUCUUUUUCCCUCGUGUCGUCAAUAGAGAUAUUGGCACAGGGUGGCUAUGAAUUGCUCUAUAUUGACUAAGUGGUGGUUGUGAAUUUGGGAAUGUUGAAUUUGGAGAUAAUAGUACCCUUCCCCUUUCCUGUUUUCA